GUUUUUCAAAAUCCUACUUCACGGAUUUCACUUAUCACGGGUUCUUUUGGGAACAUAACCCCCGCAAUAAACGAUGGAUUACUGUAAUGGGAAUUUUGUUAUGUACUAAUUUAACCUUUUUCUGAAAUUACAUGGAACAUCUUUUGUGUGACACCUGGAAAGUUUUGUAGAAUUAUUCUCUCUCCCAGUCAAUGUACUAACAAGUCGCGGGCUGCUUGUACAUUUUUCCAAUAAGCUCCUCUAUUUCAUCCACGGGUAACUGUGGAAUUAUAAAUAUGGUCACGUAAUGUUGUAAAACACAAUCUAAGUGAACUAUAUAUACUUGAGAGCGUAACUGUCGCUAACACAUAAGUAUAUUUCUCGUGUGUGUGCUGUCCAGCCGCAGGUGCUUAUCUCUCCCUCCCUAUCUCCUUCGCCCGCACCCUCCCUCCGCAAGAUGACUAUCGUUGGCUGGCUUUAGCUGUCGAUCAACGCCAAAUUUAAAAGGAGAAACGUGAUAUUGUUUGCACUGAGCUUUACAUGGCAAGGUCAUGUGACUGAUAUCCUAAUGUCAAUGUUAAUAUCGAGAAUGCUCAUAUCUCGAUAACAAUAAUAUAACUAUAUAUUGCCCAGCCUUAUACACAACCAAGGUCAAAUGUGAAGAAAUGCACUUGCAGUGAACAGGACAUAUCUUUGCUUGGCCCUGGGGC